rnacentral:lncRNA from 1 species
CGCGGUGCGGGUUGUUGCGCCCGCCCGGCAAUCGCGCUAUCCGCGGCUCCAGCUCGUCGUAGCUUCAAAAGCGGACCAUACGCCCACGUGCUCCCUUCCCUUCGCCUCGUCCAACCGACCCGAUUAACCAAGUGAGUGUGAAUUCGCCGUCCGCGGGGGAGAAGAGAAGGGCUGAGGCCGCCGCUCUUGACAUCUCGCCUGGCCAUUGGUCAGUGCUCGGUGUAGAGUCGCGGGGACUCGCCAUCGGGUUGGAAUCGUGCGCGUGCGAAGCAUCAGACGCAAGUGCAACGGAAUUCCGGGGGAUUGUUCGUCGGAGUACCGAGGGCCGCCAUGUGCUCGUUCUUCCGUCGACAGUGCUCUGUGCCGCGCCAUUUCUGGUAUGGACCCCAUUCCUGAGUUCGCUCUUGUUACUGCAAUAAGUAGAACCCAUCUAAUUGAGGUUUAGUGCGCCUGGGUUGAGGAAUCGCCUCGUCAGCGAUGUCGCUCGCCGUCACCACUGCGCGGGUGUCGUCCUUUGUUGAGCGAUGUUGGCUGGAUUGGGGAAGACGACUCUCGGCCGUUCAACCUGGAAUUCACGGUCAGUAUUAAAUCGAAACUUACCAGUUCCUGUAAUUAGAUCUGGAUCGUCGAUGCGUUGGUGAAUGGCUUAGAUCAAGGCCGAGGCGUGGUUGUAUCUCAUCUGUUGAUGUCGGAUCUGGCGAUCGGGGAUGAUGGUCGAUUCAUCUAUGACCCUGAUUUAAUCUAGAGGGUUGGCUAUUGUAACACCUCAAAAUCUCAUUUUGAGAAGUAUGUAAAUUUUUUUUCCAAAGAUCUUGAAUUAGAUUUUUUUUAGAAUUCCCAUAACCUUUGAAGUCACAUCUCCUAAAAUAAAAAUUUUAUAAUAAAGGUUCAAUAAAAGAUUCUUCUAUAAAUUAUCUUUUGGCUGAAAUUUAUAAGUAUUAAUGUCAGAACAUCUUUUAAUAGGUAAUCAUACAAUAGGAACUAUUUGCCUGAAAAUAAUUGUAAGUGUUCUACAUAUCCAAUAAUAUUUACUUUAGUAGGAUAAUAAACAAAUAAAUAAAUAAAAUGGAUACUGCAUCACAUGUUGGAUUUUGAUAGUGCUAUUAUUUUGAAAAUUAAACUAGAGUCAAAUUUAAAUUUGAAGAUUUCCA